AGCAGCCGCGGUAAUUCCAGCUCCAAUAGCGUAUAUUAAAGUUGUUGCAGUUAAAAAGCUCGUAGUUGAAUUUCGGGAUCAAUACGUCGGUCGUGCUUUCGGGUACGUACUGGCGUCAUUGGUUUCUCCUUUCUGACGAACCAUGAUGUCAUUAAUUUGGUGUUAUGGGGAGUUAGGACUGUUACUUUGAAAAAAUUAGAGUGUUUAAAGCAGGCUCACGCUUGAAUACAUUAGCAUGGAAUAAUGAAAUAGGACGUUCGAUCCUAUUUUGUUGGUUUUUAGGAUUCAACGUAAUGAUUAAUAGGGAUAGUUGGGGGCAUUAGUAUUCAAUUGUCAGAGGUGAAAUUCUUGGAUUUAUUGAAGACUAACUACUGCGAAAGCAUUUGCCAAGGAUGUUUUCAUUUAAUCAAGAACGAAAGUUAGGGGGUCGAAGACGAUCAGAUACCGUCGUAGUCUUAACCAUAAACUAUGACCGACUAGGGAUCGGAUGAUGUUAAUUUUUAANGACUUCAUUCGGCUC
rnacentral:rRNA from 1 species